rnacentral:misc_RNA from 1 species
AAGUCGUAACAAGGUUUCCGUAGGUGAACCUGCGGAAGGAUCAUUAACACGUAUCCAACGUUAAACCCCCCUGUGAACUUUCAAACCUGCUCCGGAGACAGCAAUCCCAGUAAAUCAUUGUUGAACAGUUUUGAUUUGGGACUUCUGUGGCACGUAAGAUGUCGGUUGAGAUAGGGGCAUGGCUUCCCGAAUCAGUCAUCAAAUGAAAGCGUUGAUGAUUGUGUAAGGAUAACUUCUCGAUCGCUGGAGGCCCACACGGUCGGCGGACAUGCCUAUAACCCCUGCUAACUAACCUCACCUGCCGCGAAAGCCGCAGGUGCAAAACGAACAACUGUUAACAAUGGAUAUCUUGGUUCUC